UGAUACCGAGGUGACACAAAGUCCUGGAGUCCAAGAAUGUCCCAGCCCCAUGACAGGACAAGAUGUUAAUCAUGUAGGAAAUAACCCUUGCUCAGUAUUCCAAAGGCAGGCAGAAAAACCAAGAUCUCUGCCAAAACAUUCUAGGAAAUGGAUUCCUGACCCCAUAUUUGGCAGUCAAUUUAGCCCUGUUCAUGUGAGCAAAAAUUACUGGGACUGAUGUUCAACUGAUAUACAUCAGUUCAGUUCCAUUACUUCCAUGCUUCAGCUGGAGAUCUGGCCCAGAGUCUCCAAGCACCUAAUUAUUAUUUAUUUGUACAUUCAUAGUACCUAGGAGCCCACGUCACGGACCAGGACCUCACUCUACAAACAGAACAAUAUGACAGUCCCUACCCCACAAGAGACAACAGGCAGGAGUAUACAAAUGCUGACGUUCGCCAGAAUUGCAACAGCGUGUUUGGAAGGACGCUCCUCGAGCUUUGUUUUGCCUCAAGGGCAACUUGAUGCAGUUUAGCUUACAACAGAUGUUUCUAGCAUAAAAAAGAGCACUGAACUGCCUGGUUCUACAGAGCAGUAAAGCAGAAACUCGGUUUUACAGUCUAGUGCAAGAGAUGCUUCAUGUAAGAAAACUUUUACUGGUCUCCAAAUUUAUGAAGGGUAGACAACUUUAUCACAGUUGCUAAAACAAGAGCUGGCAGU